rnacentral:tRNA from 1 species
AGGGCAUUAGGUUAAAUAAUAGACUUAAGUACUUCAAAUAUUUAUGUGGCCUAUUAGGUCAUGCUCUG